GAAAAACCGCUCUUUUUUUUUUUUAUUAAAUAAGCAUGCACCCAGUCUGUGAUACUUUGUUAUGGACGCUCUAGGACAUUAAUGCCCUGAAGUCUAGCAAUGGUCAGAAAAUGUAAUGAGAGUAAAUCUGUUUAUUGUAGUGUGUACCCUUUACAGGACAAAGGAAUAGGGACUCGUGGCUUUUUAGUUGUGACAGAUUUUAUUCCUUUGCUUUUUUCUUCCCUUCUUUCCCUCCCUCCUUCUUCCUCCUUCCUUUUCUUUUUCUGAGAACACAGGACCUGUUGGUAGCUGCCUUCCUAUAGAAAGUGUGUUAAAUCCUUCAGUCUGUGGCAAGACACAAGCCAGGCUGGACCCCUUUAAAAUUAGACACUAGCUUGUGCCAGAGAUAAACACAGUGCCUUGUACCCAGAGCACUCCAGUUCUAACCAGCUGGUGACAAAAUUAGUGACUCAACAGGGCUGGGGAGUCCUGAGCCCGGGAACUAGGCUGAGCUAGGAAUCAAAGGCCUCACCAACAAACAGAACUGGUAAAACCCAAGCCAGGCCAUUCAGCCACAAUUUUUUUGUUGUUGCUUUUUUUCUUUUCUUUUUUUGGCCAGGAAAUAGAAACCAAAUCUGCAGAUGUUGUAAAGGAGGACUAAGAAGUACCCCCACCCUCAUGUUAAUGAUCCUCGCUGAGAGCUCUAAGCUGGCCUGCAAGUCCCUGGGCCAGGAAGAACUUUCUACUGACAGUGUGGCUCCCUUCCUUGCUGGGACUGGAUGACCAGCGGCUGCAGGCGCAGGGGAAGUCACUGCGCCCAUCAGGCCCACAUUGCCACCCAGCAUCCUUCCAGGCUGUUCUCUCUACUGCAGUCUUCUCCGAGUGUUUCUUCAGCAGGCUCAGGGAGAGGAUGUUUGGUCAAAGGGCAUCGAGAUGGGAACAGGAGGAGAGGAAAUAAGGGGCCGGCGAUAAAGAAAUGAGAGCCGAAGAGGGCAGAAAUAGAAACCGGGAUGAUGAAAAACACCAGACAGGACGUCUGUGGGACCACAUAGCAACAAAACAUGAAGUACAAGGGGGCACAAAUGGGGACAACUUGGAGAGGAGAAGGGAACUGUGGGACAAGUCAACUGCUAGAGGACUGUCAGCGUUUCUUCUCAUCUGCGUGACGUCUACCCAUCCUUCAAGUCACAGCCUAAACUGGCUUUCUGCUGCACGUCUGGAGUGACCCAUACCUUCCCCACACACCCCACCUGCAGCUGGUGGUUCUUCUUAGAGCCAAGAGAACCUGUACUUUAUCUCAACCACCAUUGUCCUGGAACAAACUGCUUCUUUAAUUCCAACUCCUCCCCAAGUCUGAAAUUUCAGACAAAGCUUACACUCUCCUGGAAUAGUACAAUGCCUCCAUCAUGGUUCCAGGCACGUGGCAAACACCAAGAAAUCACCAUGUGGCUGGUGCACGGCCAGCUCUGAGUUUCACCCUCAAUGCCUUUGUGGGAUCAUUUGGGGAAAUCUUUCUUCAGGGUGACUUCUACUUUUGUCCAAGGAGGACUGCGACCCUGGAUAAGGUGUUAGAGCUUUCCUUGUGUGUUUGAUACAUUUUUAAAAUGUAGAGAAGCUUGCAACCGCUCCUGCCUUUAUCUUUUCAUUGUUAUUUACUUAUCUUCCUUUGGGGACAGGUUGGCCUUGAACUCCUGGGCCCAAGUGAUACUCUUACCACAGCCUCCAAGUAGCUGAGAUUGUAGAUACAAUCUAUCUAAUGGAGGUCUGGGGUUUUUGUGCUAGAGAGAGAACUCUAGGUCUUACACAUGCCAAGAACUGAGUUAAACUCCCAUCCUUGCAUCUCUCUCUAAGACAGUGUGUGUCUUUAUUCAUGAAAGUGUGUCAGAAAAUAGCUCUACCAAAUUGGACUUUGACGUCCCGUAGUUUGA